GCAGUACUUGGAUUAUGAGAUUUAGUGGCACAUAAACCUGCAUUUGAAGACUGGCUUUUCCACUUAACUAGCUGUGAGAUCUUCAUUCCUCUGAGCUUCAGUUCCCUUAUUAGAAGAUAGACUGAUUUUCAAUUUGAUUUUUACAUUCAGAAGAUAAACCCUGACCCUGCUCUAGAUUUAAAAGUGAUCAAAUAAUGAUUAAUACUAGUUAUGGUGUUCCAUGAUCUUCCAAGGAGUGGGGUGUUCCACAGAACUUGCAAGGUGUCUCUAGUGUGUCUUGAUCCUGACUCAGGCCCCCAAACGACGUUUCUGCAAUGCUACCCACGGCUCACUGGAAAUGUCCCUCUUGGUCUCCUGAUUCAAGUUCCAGAUAGACAACUGGAGGAAGACAAAGAACGAGAGAAUCUGACUCACCCAGCUCAAGCUUUCAAACCACACCACCCAGGUCGUAGGUCACUGGCAAGCCUAUGGAAGACUCUGCCUGGCCCAGGUGUCUUUACAGUCACAUUCCAAGCAAAUGUUGUCACAGGGGUGGUGUCUUAAAGCUACUGCCACAUUAAGAAGAGAUGGUGAAUGGAGACAGAGUAUCGGAGGAGGGGACAUUGUAGGCACUCCACAUUUGGGGCAUGCAACAGCUUGCCGACUACGUCUGUCUGCUGCCUUAAUUUAUACGCAGUUGUCUUGGUGAGGCUGUGAAGGCGGUUCCAUUCACCUCUCCGACAGAAAAAACUGCAUAGGUUUUGCAACGAUCAUUGUCAUUUCAACUUUAUCAUCAUAUACCUAUAAAUAUGUUUGUAUAUUUAAGAUGUGACAUAUGUUUUGCCUUUACUAUCAUGCAUUUAUGAAUGUGUU
rnacentral:lncRNA from 1 species